CCCUUAGAUGUUCUGGGCCGCACGCGCGCUACACUGACUGGAUCAACGAGUUGUCCACCUUGGCUGAAGAGUCCGGGUAAUCUUGUAAAAUCCAGUCGUGAUGGGGAUAGAUUAUUGCAAUUAUUAAUCUUCAACGAGGAAUUCCUAGUAAGGGUGGUUCAACAGACCGCCCUGAUUACGUCCCUGCCCCUUGUACACACCGCCCGUCGCACCUACCGAUUGAAUGGUCCGGUGAAAUCUCGGGACGGCGGCUUGGUCGCUUGCGUCCGACUGCUGAAACUUGAUUAAACCAUAUCAUUUAGAGGAAGGUGAAGUCGUAACA
rnacentral:rRNA from 1 species